AGUGAACGCUGGCGGUAGGCCUAACACAUGCAAGUCGAACGGCAGCACAGUAAGAGCUUGCUCUUACGGGUGGCGAGUGGCGGACGGGUGAGGAAUACAUCGGAAUCUACUUUUUCGUGGGGGAUAACGUAGGGAAACUUACGCUAAUACCGCAUACGACCUACGGGUGAAAGCAGGGGAUCUUCGGACCUUGCGCGAUUGAAUGAGCCGAUGUCGGAUUAGCUAGUUGGCGGGGUAAGGGCCCACCAAGGCGACGAUCCGUAGCUGGUCUGAGAGGAUGAUCAGCCACACUGGAACUGAGACACGGUCCAGACUCCUACGGGAGGCAGCAGUGGGGAAUAUUGGACAAUGGGCGCAAGCCUGAUCCAGCCAUACCGCGUGGGUGAAGAAGGCCUUCGGGUUGUAAAGCCCUUUUGUCGGGAAAGAAAAGCAGCAGGUUAAUACCCCGCUGUUCUGACGGUACCCAAAGAAUAAGCACCGGCUAACUUCGUG
rnacentral:rRNA from 1 species